rnacentral:lncRNA from 1 species
ACAGCCGCUUCCCUCACUACCACCAGAUAAGCACUCCCGGCUUUGCUGCAUGUUGGCGCCAGCCUCAGUCUUGUCCCUGCACAGCCACCUCCUGCCCUUGGGGACAAUAGGAAGAGGCCACCGUCAUAGCAAGAGGCUUCCGCUGCCCUGUUGCUGGGCCCCUCCUGCUUCUUAUACAGCAGGCUACACUGCGGAGAAUGGCAGGGGUACCUGGGGCCAACACACACUACAGCAUACAAAAACACACACACUCACUACACACAUACAACUUACACACACACCACAGCAUACAAAAACACACACACUCACUACACACAUACAGCUUACACACACAUCACAGAAUACAAAAACACACACUACACACAUACAACUUACACACACACCACAGCAUACAAAAACACACACACUCACCACACACAUACAACUUACACACACACCACAGCAAACAAAAACACACACACUCACUACACACAUACAACUUACACACACACCACAGCAAACAAAAACACACACACUCACUACACACAUACAACUUACACACACACUACAGCAUACAAAAACACACACACUACACACAUACAGCUUACACACACACCACAGCAUACAAAAACACACACACUACACACAUACAGCUUACACACACACCACAGCAUACAAAAACACACACACUACACACAUACAACUUACACACACACUACAGCAUACAAAAACACACACACUACACACAUACAGCUUACACACACACCACAGCAUACAAAAACACACACACUACACACAUACAGCUUACACACACACCACAGCAAACAAAAACACACACACUCACUACACACAUACAACUUACACACACACUACAGCAUACAAAAACACACACACUACACACAUACAGCUUACACACACACCACAGCAUAAAAAAAUACACACUACACACAUACAGCUUACACACACACCACAGCAAACAAAAACACACACACUCACUACACACAUACAGCUUACACACACACCACAGCAAACAAAAACACACACACUCACUACACACAUACAGCUUACACACACAUCACAGCAAACAAAAACACACACACUCACUACACACAUACAGCUUACACACACACCACAGCAAACAAAAACACACACACUCACUACACACAUACAGCUUACACACACAUCACAGAAUACAAAAACACACACCACACACACUCACUACACAUAUACAGCUUACACACACACCACAUACUCAUCAUACCCACAUAAAACACACCACACACAUACAGCCUUAUCUAGGAGUCCACGGGAUCC